rnacentral:rRNA from 1 species
ACAUGGCACCAAGCCUAAUCAAAUAUUUGGUGUCGUACCUGCCCGGUGGAAAUUAAUCUCUUAACGGCUGCGGUACCCUGACCGUGCAAAGGUAGCAUAAUCAUUUGCCUUUUAAUUGGUGGCUAGAAUGAACGGUUUGACAAUGCUCCUGCUGUCUCUAUUUGUUUAAUGUUAAUUUGACUUUUAGGUGAAGAGGCCUACUAACAGUAUAGAAGGACGAGAAGACCCUAUAGAGCUGAAAGUAAAAUGGCUGGUUUGUUUAAGCUAUUUUCUUGUUGAUUGGGGCGAUCAGGGAGUAAUAAAAACCUCCUAACAAAACUUCUAACAUACAAGAACCAAGAAUUUUAUUGAAUUAGGGGCAGCUACCUUAGGGAUAACAGCACAAUUUUUUUUGGAAGACCUAAUUUAAAAAAAAGAUUAUGACCUCGAUGUUGGACUAAAGACACUGAGGGGUGCAGCAGCUCCUCAAAGACAGCCUGUUCGGCUAUUAAAUCUUUAC